ensembl:lncRNA TTN-AS1 TTN antisense RNA 1
AAAAGUAGGAAGAAAAUAAAAGGCACAAAGGCUAAAGAAGCAAGAAUGGCUAAAAAAGGAAAUAAUUCUUUAGAGUAAGGAAGUUUAAAUAAAGCUCAAUACAGCAAACACCAAUUGAUUAUCUGUCAUUUGCAAUAUAUUGGAAUAUACAAAUAGAAUUCCAGAUUUCAGGAGUUUAUACACUGAUAUUGAAAGAGGAAAUGGGGAAUAAGACAAGUGCAUAAUAAACACUAGGAAAGAGGCACAUAUAAAGUGAUCCUGGGGUUGGAUGAGGAAGAGAUCAUAUACAAAUGGAGAGAUUAAGGAAGGUUUAAUGGAGAAGGUGACGUUUGAGGUAGGCCUAGAAGAACAUUUGUAAUUUAGGCUGGUGGGAAUGGUGUUGCAAGUACUAUUGGCUUUGGGAACAGCAUAAGCAGAGGCAUGGAAGUGGGAAACUGAAAGGAAUUUUGGGGGAAAUGAAUAAUAAUUUCUUAAAAUAACAAUCACUCCUCGUAAGAAUUUAGGUUAAUAAAUAUACCAACCUGCCACAGUAAGUUUUCCAGAUGUCAUAUUUUCUCCCGCGUAAAAUGUGUAUUUUCCUUCAUCAUCUUUCAUCAUAUUUAGAACUGUCAAUUUAUAUAUUUUUCCAUGUGCUUCAAUUUUAUAUUUAGAACUGGGCUUGAUUUCCUUGUCCUUAAAAUUCCACAGGACAUCAAUUCCAGAGUGGGACAGCUCAACCUCAAACACCACAUUUUGAGUUUCUGUACAGGUUGUCUUUUUCCCGUCGAUGACAAAGCUGUAUUCUCCCUGGUCCUCCUUGGUUACAUCCUUGACCGUGAGGUUCUGACGUCCACGACGAGAUGUAAUUGUAUAUUUGCCAUUGGAUUUAAGCUCCACAUCAUUAUGAUACCAUUUUCCUUCUAUAUUUUCUGGGGAUACAAUGCACUCUAAUUCUCCUGAAUAUGAUUCUGGAACUUCUAUGUCCUGAAGUUCUUUCACAAACUCAACAACUGCACCUGAAGUGUAUAACAGAAAGAUAAAUCAAUUUUUUUGGAGAGGUAUGCAUCUAGACUUAGGAUAGAGAUGAUGUCUUGUAUGUCUUUUAUCUCCCCCAUACUAUCAGGUGUAUUCUUAAUAUCUACCCGCUGAUGGGCUGAGAGAUAAAUUUUCAAUAAGAAGCAGUUAUUUUAUUUUAAUUUUUAAAUAUUUUUGAAAGUAAAGAAUUAUGCUUCAAUAAAAAACUUAAAAGCUAAAAAUCAAGAUAAUACUACUUUAAAAAAUCCAAAUGGUCAAAUUGUUAACAUUCUUAAUUACGAACAUAAAUUUAUGAUUCUGGCUAUGAAACUUAUAGUCAAUUUCCAAAUAAUUGUUUCAUGAAAGAAAAAUUGCAUAGCUAAUUUUACCACAUGCUAAGGGUGACUUUAGAGCUUAGGUAAACAAUGAAAUCCUUCGUUGUUGAAUACCUUCAACAAUAAGUUUAGCAGUCGUUUUGACAUUUUCAUCUUCCACAAGUACACAGCUGUAAUCUUCAGCAUCAGACGUAUCAAUGGUCAGUAUGGAGAGGAAGUGAACCUUUCUGUCAGAGUGCAUCCUGUAUUUAUCUCCCUCAUGAACCUCCAUACCAUCUUUAUACCAUUUCACUUUGACAAAUGGUUCUGAAGUUUCACAUUCAAAGGUUGCCAUAGUGUCUUUUUCCUUAGCAACAACAUCUUGUAAUUCCUGUGUGAAAGUGAUCAAUUGCUUGGCUACAAGAAAAAGGUGGGGGAAAAAGGGGAGAGCACAUUAUAUUAAAUUAAAUUCUCAACCUGAGGAAUGGGGAAAGAAAAUAAAAGUAAACACACUCAUGGAUAUUCUUGAAUACAAAGACAGGUCCAUCAAAGGAAAGACAUGCAAAUUACCUUGGACAAGUAAGAAUGCGUGACUGGAGGUUUCUCCAGCUAUGUUGAUGGCUUUUACCAUGAUGCUGGCAGAGUCCUCAGCAGUCACAUCUCUUAUGACCAAUUCACAAACAUUGUCUUCGGGCCAGUACCAGUAGAUCCGGUCAGACCGUUCAAUUUUGACACCAUUUUUGUACCAUUCACAUUCGGGGUCUGGUUUCCCCACGACUCUGACCCGGAAGUGUGCAUCAGAUCCUUGGCCCACUGUUUGGCUCUGGAUUCUUUCGAAGAUUUUUGGAGCCUCCAUACUAGGACUUAGUUCAAUCUUGUCAGGUUUAAAAGUUGGAAUCGUGAUUUUGCCUUCUUCGGCAAGAGCUUUCUUUUCCUCUUCAGUUAACUCUUUGGUCCAGUGGAGAAGUUCAUCUUUUGUCUUCCUGAGGAGUUCCUCAUAGGAUUCAUCCUUCUUUCGAGACUUGAGCUCCACAGCGGUAAUGGCUUCAUAAUAGCCCUCUUCUGUUCUGCGCUUGAAUUUACUGCGCAGCUCUUCCGACUCUUCAGGCACUUUUUCAUGGGUAAUUCUUUCAGCCCUUUUCAACUUCACAACUUCUUUGGUUUCAGUGGUGUCAACAGGUCUAUCCACUUUUUGUACUUCAAACUGAAGCUUUCCUGGUUCAUGUACGUGAAACUCAGGCCUUGGUUCAGGAGCUCUCCUAAGGACAGACCUAAAAUCUUCCCUCUGUUGAAUCUCAAGCUUCACUUUAUGCUCUAUCACACCUUCAGGAUUUUCCGCGGUGACCUUCACUUCACCUGUGUCAUAUGAUUUGCAGUCCACGAUGUCCAGGUAAUGGAUACCAUCAUAGCGAACUCUGAACCUUUUGCUUUUGCGGAUGAGCUGUCCAUUGAGGUACCAGUUGACUUUGGGCUGAGGGUAGCCUGUUACCCUGCAGCGGAACCUUGCAGUCUCCCCUUCAAGUACUCUAACUGGCUCUGGGUACAAGACAAUGUCUGGCUUUUGCUUUUCUUUCUGAUCUGUUGUUACACCUGUAAGUGCACCUUCAUGAGCCAUUCUCUCUAAUUCUUCAAUUCUCUGUAAGCCUUUCCUCCCCUCAGGCAAUUGGGAUUCUUCCACAAGACUUUUCUCAUCUUUAACAAUAAGGGUAGCAGAUGUGUGAUCUGUUCCAUAUU